ensembl:rRNA 5S_rRNA 5S ribosomal RNA
GUCUACGACCAUACCACUCUGAACACACCCAAUCUCGUCUGAUCUCAGAAGCUAAGUAGGGUUGGGCCUGGUUAGUACUUGGAUGGGAGACCACCUGGGAAUACCAGGUACUGUAGGGG